GCGGUGGCUCAGUGGCAGAGUGUUUGCCUAGCAUGUGUGAGACACUGGGUUUGAUCCCCAGCACCACA
rnacentral:tRNA from 1 species